ACAACAACAUCGGACCGUCGGUCUACCGAGCAAUAUCACCCGCUCGCUGGAAGAUCUUCCUUUCGUCGUCUAAG
rnacentral:pre_miRNA from 1 species